rnacentral:rRNA from 1 species
AACGAACGCUGGCGGCAGGCUUAACACAUGCAAGUCGAGCGCACCUUUUAGGUGAGCGGCAGACGGGUGAGUAAUGCGUGGGAAACUGCCCAUCACUACGGAAUAACAUAGAGAAAUUUGUGCUAAUACCGUAUACGUCCGAGAGGAGAAAGAUUUAUCGGUGAUGGAUGUGCCCAUGUUGGAUUAGCUAGUUGGUAGGGUAAUGGCCUACCAAGGCGACGAUCCAUAGCUGGUCUGAGAGGAUGAUCAGCCACACUGGGACUGAGACACGGCCCAGACUCCUACGGGAGGCAGCAGUGGGGAAUAUUGGACAAUGGGCGCAAGCCUGAUCCAGCCAUGCCGCGUGAGUGAUGAAGGCCUUAGGGUUGUAAAGCUCUUUCACCGGUGAAGAUAAUGACGGUAACCGGAGAAGAAGCCCCGGCUAACUUCGUGCCAGCAGCCGCAGUAACAC